rnacentral:tRNA from 2 species
GCCGGUGUGAUGGAAUUGGCAGACGUGCUGGACUCAAAAUCCAGUGGUAGCAAUACCGUGCGGGUUCGACCCCCGCCACCGGCACCA